rnacentral:rRNA from 1 species
CGUCAAAUCAUCAUGCCCCUUAUGUCCUGGGCUACACACGUACUACAAUGGCUACUAACAACGGGCAGCGAAGGCGCGAGCCGGAGCAAAUCCCCAAAAGUAGCCCCAGUUCGGAUUGCAGGCUGAAACUCGCCUGCAUGAAGUUGGAAUUGCUAGUAAUCGCGGAUCAGCAUGCCGCGGUGAAUACGUUCCCGGGCCUU